GAUCCUGGCUCAGAUUGAACGCUGGCGGCAUGCCUUACACAUGCAAGUCGAACGGCAGCGGGCCUUCGGGUGCCGGCGAGUGGCGAACGGGUGAGUAAUGCAUCGGAACGUGCCAUUGAGUGGGGGAUAACGUAGCGAAAGUUGCGCUAAUACCGCAUAUUCUGUGAGCAGGAAAGCAGGGGACCGCAAGGCCUUGCGCUCUUUGAGCGGCCGAUGUCAGAUUAGCUAGUUGGUGAGGUAACGGCUUACCAAGGCGACGAUCUGUAGCGGGUCUGAGAGGAUGAUCCGCCACACUGGAACUGAGACACGGUCCAGACUCCUACGGGAGGCAGCAGUGGGGAAUUUUGGACAAUGGGCGCAAGCCUGAUCCAGCCAUGCCGCGUGAGUGAAGAAGGCCUUCGGGUUGUAAAGCUCUUUCGGCCGGGAAGAAAUCGCAUGGGUUAAUACCCUGUGUGGAUGACGGUACCGGAAUAAGAAGCACCGGCUAACUACGUG
rnacentral:rRNA from 1 species